GGACUUGAAGAUAAUUUGAUGAAAUCUAAUUUAUAUGGUAUUGGAGUUCAUUACAGUAAAGUAGCUCACUUUGCAUCGAUAUUGGGGUGUAAAUCGGCUCGUUUCCGUUUAUUUAGGUCUCCCUAUGGGAUCUAAUAUGUCAAUACACCAUGGGUGGAAUAUAAUUAUUGAUAGAUCUUGCAAGAUGUUGUCGAAGUGCGAGGCAAAUCUUUUGUUAGUUGGUGGAAGGCCCAAGUGUAGAGGAUCGGGCCAUGAAAUUUCUGGAGGCCCAUGAUUGAGCUUCCAAGGGUGUCUAACGAAAACGAGCAUAACUUUGGCUACAGGUCUCUGUUUUUGGCGUUCAACCAGUCAAAUCGAAGCUUGAAACGAGGAGCACGUCACGUCAUGAGGGCCUUGUCCAAGUUUCGUCCCAAAAAAGGCAUUCUAAUGGGAGUUUUGGACACGUUUUAUGUUUUUUGGGUGUUUUAUGCAUUUUGUUUUUGGGCUUGUGUUUGGCUCAUGGCCUUUUUGUAGCCCAUUUCGAAUUUCAGUCUCUAUUUAUGUCUUCCUCUUGUAAUUUGGAUGGUCAGAAUUGAAUUUUGAGAAAUAACCAUUUUUACUUCAA
rnacentral:lncRNA from 1 species